CCUACGGGUGGCAGCAGUCGAGAAUCAUUCACAAUGGGGGAAACCCUGAUGGUGCGACGCCGCGUGGGGGAAUGAAGGUCUUCGGAUUGUAAACCCCUGUCAUGUGGGAGCAAAUUAAAAAGAUAGUACCACAAGAGGAAGAGACGGCUUACUCUGUGCCAGCAGCCGCGGUAAAACAGAGGUCUCAAGCGUUGUUCGGAAUCACUGGGCGUAAAGCGUGGGUAAGGUGUUUCGAAAGUCCUGUGUUAAAUGGGCGGGGUCAACCCGCAGGACGCUCAUGAAACUGCGGGACUAGAGUAAUGGAGGGGGGACCGGAAUUCUAGGUGUAGCAGUGAAAUGCGUAGAUAUCGAGAGGAACACUCGUGGCGAAGGCGGGUUCCUGGACAUUAACUGACGCUGAGGCACGAAGGCCAGGGGAGCGAAAGGGAUUAGAUACCCGUGUAGUC
rnacentral:rRNA from 1 species